rnacentral:misc_RNA from 1 species
UACGUAGGGUGCGAGCGUUAAUCGGAAUUACUGGGCGUAAAGGGUGUGCAGGCGGCUGAGUAAGACAGAUGUGAAAUCCCCGAGCUUAACUCAGGAAUGGCAUAUGUGACUGCUCGACUAGAGUGUGUCAGAGGGAGGUGGAAUUCCACGUGUAGCGGUGAAAUGCGUAGAUAUGUGGAAGAACACCGAUGGCGAAGGCAGCCUCCUGGGACAUAACUGACGCUCAGGCACGAAAGCGUGGGGAGCAAACAGG